rnacentral:rRNA from 1 species
UACGUAGGGGGCAAGCGUUAUUCGGAAUUAUUGGGCGUAAAGGGCGCGUAGGCGGCUAGAUGUGUCAAAGGUGAAAUCCCUCGGCUCAACUGAGGAACUGCCUUUGAAACUGUCUGGCUUGAGGCCGGGAGAGGGUAGCGGAAUUCCCAGUGUAGUGGUGAAAUGCGUAGAUAUUGGGAGGAACACCAGUGGCGAAGGCGGCUACCUGGACCGGUUCUGACGCUGAGGCGCGAAAGCGUGGGUAGCAAACAGG